AAGAUGGCGUAAGCUAUCGCUUUUGGAUGGACCCGCGGCGUAUUAGCUAGUUGGUGAGGUAAUGGCUCACCAAGGCGAUGAUACGUAGCCGAACUGAGAGGUUGAUCGGCCACAUUGGGACUGAGACACGGCCCAAACUCCUACGGGAGGCAGCAGUAGGGAAUCUUCCACAAUGGACGCAAGUCUGAUGGAGCAACGCCGCGUGAGUGAAGAAGGCUUUCGGGUCGUAAAACUCUGUUGUUGGAGAAGAAUGGUCGGCAGAGUAACUGUUGUCGGCGUGACGGUAUCCAACCAGAAAGCCACGGCUAACUACGUGCCAGCAGCCGCGGUAAUACGUAGGUGGCAAGCGUUAUCCGGAUUUAUUGGGCGUAAAGCGAGCGCAGGCGGUUUUUUAAGUCUGAUGUGAAAGCCCUCGGCUUAACCGAGGAAGCGCAUCGGAAACUGGGAAACUUGAGUGCAGAAGAGGACAGUGGAACUCCAUGUGUAGCGGUGAAAUGCGUAGAUAUAUGGAAGAACACCAGUGGCGAAGGCGGCUGUCUGGUCUGUAACUGACGCUGAGGCUCGAAAGCAUGGGUAGCGAACAGGAU
rnacentral:rRNA from 1 species